rnacentral:rRNA from 1 species
GAUGAACGCUGGCGGCGUGCCUAAUACAUGCAAGUCGAGCGAACAGACGAGGAGCUUGCUCCUUUGACGUUAGCGGCGGACGGGUGAGUAACACGUAGGUAACCUACCUAUAAGACUGGGAUAACUUCGGGAAACCGGAGCUAAUACCGUAUAAUAUUUCGAACCGCAUGGUUCGAUAGUGAAAGGUGGCUUUGCUAUCACUUAUAGAUGGACCUGCGCCGUAUUAGCUAGUUGGUAAGGUAACGGCUUACCAAGGCAACGAUACGUAGCCGACCUGAGAGGGUGAUCGGCCACACUGGAACUGAGACACGGUCCAGACUCCUACGGGAGGCAGCAGUAGGGAAUCUUCCGCAAUGGGCGAAAGCCUGACGGAGCAACGCCGCGUGAGGGAUGAAGGUCUUCGGAUCGUAAAACUCUGUUAUUAGGGAAGAACAAACGUGUACGUAACUGUGCAGGUCUUGACGGUACCGAAUCAGAAAGCAACGGCUAACUACGUG